GACCCCAUGACGAGGAGCUGGUGGCCCUUGGCGAGGAGCUCUUGACGAGCUUCCGAGAGGACGUGAUUGAGCAGUACAAUAGAGAAGAUGGAAAGAAAACCCGGGCAAACGGAAAUGGAUGGAAUUCAAAGACUGGAGUCGCAUCUCGGACAUAGGUUCUCGAGGUAGCACCCUUCCAUCCAGCUGUUUAGAUCGCUGAUCCUGAAGGAUGACUUAUGUACCCCUAUGUUGCGGAGAAAACCUAAAGGGAUUUUUAUACAACAAUAAAAAUACAUCUAAUUAAU